rnacentral:rRNA from 1 species
AAAUGACUCUCGGCAACGGAUAUCUCGGCUCUUGCAUCGAUGAAGAACGUAGCGAAAUGCGAUACUUGGUGUGAAUUGCAGAAUCCCGUGAACCAUCGAGUCUUUGAACGCAAGUUGCGCCCAAAGCCAUUAGGUUGAGGGCACGCCUGCCUGGGUGUCAGNC